rnacentral:rRNA from 1 species
UACGUAGGGUGCGAGCGUUAAUCGGAAUUACUGGGCGUAAAGCGUGCGCAGGCGGUUGUGGAAGACAGAUGUGAAAUCCCCGGGCUCAACCUGGGAACUGCAUUUGUGACUGCACAGCUGGAGUGCGGCAGAGGGGGAUGGAAUUCCGCGUGUAGCAGUGAAAUGCGUAGAUAUGCGGAGGAACACCGAUGGCGAAGGCAAUCCCCUGGGCCUGCACUGACGCUCAUGCACGAAAGCGUGGGGAGCAAACAGG